rnacentral:rRNA from 1 species
AGAGUUUGUAUCCUGGCUCAGGAUGAACGCUGGCGGCGCGCCUAACACAUGCAAGUCGAACGGUUAAAGCCCCUUCGGGGGUGCAUAGAGUGGCGAACGGCUGAGUAACACGUGGGCAACCUGCCCCCGCACCGGGACAGCCUCGGGAAACCGUGGUUAAUACCGGAUACUCCGCCACCCCCGCGAUGGGGGCGGCGGGAAAGCCCAGGCGGAGGGGGAUGGGCCCGCGGCCUGUUAGCUCGUUGCGGGGUAACGGCCCACCAAGGCGAUGAUGGGUAGCCGGGUUGAGAGACCGACCGGCCAGAUUGGGACUGAGACACGGCCCAGACUCCUACGGGAGGCAGCAGUGGGGAAUCUUGCACAAUGGGCGGAAGCCUGAUGCAGCGACGCCGCGUGCGGGACGAAGGCCUUCGGGUCGUAAACCGCUUUCAGCAGGGACGAGGCCGAAAGGUGACGGUACCUGCAGAAGAAGCCCCGGCUAACUACGUG